UACCAGACUCCUACGGGAGGCAGCAGUGGGGAAUAUUGCACAAUGGGGGAAACCCUGAUGCAGCGACGCCGCGUGAGCGAUGAAGUAUUUCGGUAUGUAAAGCUCUAUCAGCAGGGAAGAAGAUGGCGGUACCUGACUAAGAAGCCCCGGCUAACUACGUGCCAGCAGCCGCGGUAAUACGUAGGGGGCAAGCGUUAUCCGGAUUUACUGGGUGUAAAGGGGGCGCAGACGGCGAUGCAAGCCAGGAGUGAAAGCCCGGGGCCCAACCCCGGGACUGCUCUUGGAACUGCGUGGCUGGAGUGCAGGAGGGGCAGGCGGAAUUCCUGGUGUAGCGGUGAAAUGCGUAGAUAUCAGGAGGAACACCGGUGGCGAAGGCGGCCUGCUGGACUGCAACUGACGUUGAGGCCCGAAAGCGUGGGGAGCAGACAGGAUUAGAUACCCCUGUAA
rnacentral:rRNA from 1 species